rnacentral:rRNA from 1 species
CAGCCGCCGCGGUAAUACGUAGGCAGCGAGCGUUGUUCGGAAUUACUGGGCGUAAAGAGUGUGUAGGCGGUGCUCUAAGUUCGGUGUGAAAUCUCCUGGCUUAACUGGGAGGGUGCGCCGGAAACUGGAGUGCUCGAACGUGGGAGAGGAAAGCGGAAUUCCUGGUGUAGCGGUGAAAUGCGUAGAUAUCAGGAGGAACACCUGCGGUGUAGACGGCUUUCUGGACCAUUGUUGACGCUGAGACACGAAAGCGUGGGUAGCAAACAGGAUUAGAUACCCGUGUAGUCCCUGUCUCUUAUAC